CAUUUUUUUUAGUCCUUGAUAAAGUAGAGAAUUUUAUGUUUACUUCCUAAUAAUUUUUUCAUUUGUUAUAGACUUUUGAAAAAGAUAAUAAAAAAUGACAAAAAAUUAUCAGGGAGCAAACAAAAAUUUUCUAAUUUAUUAGGGACUAAAACAAGUA
rnacentral:pre_miRNA from 1 species